rnacentral:rRNA from 1 species
GACGAACGCUGGCGGCGUGCUUAACACAUGCAAGUCGAACGGUGAAGCGCCUUCCUUUUUGGUGGGUGUGGAUGAGUGGCGAACGGGUGAGUAACACGUGAGUAACCUGCCCCCUUCUUCUGGAUAACCGCAUGAAAGUGUGGCUAAUACGGGAUAUUCUGGGUCUGUCGCAUGAUGGGUCUGGGAAAGAUAUUGUUUCGGUGGGGGAUGGGCUCGCGGCCUAUCAGCUUGUUGGUGGGGUGAUGGCCUACCAAGGCGGUGACGGGUAGCCGGCCUGAGAGGGUGGACGGUCACACUGAGACUGAGACACGGCCCAGACUCCUACGGGAGGCAGCAGGGGGGAAUAUUGCACAAUGGGCGCAAGCCUGAUGCAGCGACGCCGCGUGAGGGAUGGAGGCCUUCGGGUUGUGAACCUCUUUCGCCAGUGAAGCAGGCCUGCCUCGUUUGUGGGUGGGUUGACGGUAGCUGGAUAAGAAGCGCCGGCUAACUACGUG